GCAACAAAAAGAGUCAACAAAUAUUGAAAUUACGGCUUAUUUUAAUCGAAAAAAUGAUACAUCACGUUUCGAAUAGAUCAUCAAAUCAAAAUAUACCAAUUUGAGCUUAUCAAAAGUGUUCGAUUCGAUGUGAGCUUUUCAUGUCCGCCCACUUCACCAACGACCCUCAUUGUUUUAAGUGAACUAAUCAAGUAGAAAAAGAAAAUGGAAUACAUAUCAUUAAUAAUUGUUGGGUUUUGUAUGAUAAAUGAGGUUUUUUUAUUACCGGAGGUGAUAAGAAUUGGUGGUUUAUUUCAUCCCGCGGAUGAUAGACAAGAAAUCGCGUUUCGAUACGCAGUUGAAAAGAUAAAUAACGAUCGUACGAUUUUGCCACGUUCGAAAUUGAGUGCCCAAAUCGAAAGGAUGUCGCCUCAAGAUAGUUUUCACGCGUCAAAAAAAGUCUGUCAUCUUUUAAGAAGUGGUGUUGCUGCUAUUUUUGGUCCACAAUCGGCGCACACCGCCAGCCACGUACAAUCAAUUUGCGAUACGAUGGAAAUUCCACAUUUGGAAACGCGUUGGGAUUACCGUUUAAGAAGGGAGAGUUGUUUGGUUAAUUUAUAUCCACAUCCGACGACGUUAUCAAAAGCUUACGUUGAUUUAGUUAAAGCAUGGGGUUGGAAAUCUUUUACGAUAAUUUACGAGAACAACGAAGGUUUAGUUCGUUUACAAGAACUUUUAAAAGCUCAUGGGCCGUAUGAAUUUCCUAUAACCGUGAGACAAUUAGGUGAAGGAUCCGAUUACAGACCUCUUUUGAAGCAAAUUAAAAAUUCGGCCGAAUCUCAUGUUGUAUUAGAUUGCUCGACCGAUAGAAUUUAUGAUGUCUUAAAACAGGCUCAACAAAUCGGAAUGAUGAGCGAUUAUCACAGCUACUUAAUCACCUCUUUAGAUUUGCAUUGUGUCGAUUUAGAAGAGUUUAAAUAUGGAGGCACAAACAUCACCGCCUUUAGAUUGGUCGAUCCGGAAGGUUCGGAUGUUAGAUCGAUCGUUAAAGAUUGGUCUUUACCUACUGAUAAUCGAAAUAAAAAAUCCGAUUUGGAUAACAACACAUUUGUAAAAGCGGAAACGGCAUUAAUGUACGACGCCGUCCAUUUAUUCGCAAAAGCUCUCCAUGAUUUAGACACUAGCCAACAAAUCGACAUCAAACCGUUAAGUUGUGAUGCGGUGGAUACUUGGCCUCACGGAUACAGUCUUAUAAAUUACAUGAAAAUUGUUGAAAUGCGUGGAUUAACUGGUGUAAUUAAAUUCGAUCACCAAGGGUUUCGUAGCGAUUUCGCCUUGGACAUCAUUGAAUUGAAUCGGGAAGGUUUAAAGAAAAUCGGGACGUGGAAUUCAACGGAAGGGGUUAAUUUCACAAGAACAUACGGGGAGGUUUAUACACAAAUUGUUGAGAUUAUUCAAAAUAAAACGUUUGUUGUCACAACAAUUUUGAGUUCUCCUUAUUGUAUGAGAAAAGAUUCAAGUGAACAAUUAACCGGUAAUGCUCAAUACGAAGGUUAUGCAGUUGAUUUAAUCCACGAAAUAUCCCGAGUGUUGGGUUUUAAUUACACCAUAAGAUUAGCUCCGGAUGGACGUUACGGUUCGUUAAAUAGACAAACCAAAGAAUGGGAUGGUAUGAUUAGGGAGUUAUUGGAUCAAAAAGCCGAUUUAGCUAUAGCUGAUUUAACGAUAACUUACGAUAGGGAGCAAGCUGUUGAUUUUACAAUGCCUUUUAUGAAUUUGGGAAUCAGUAUUCUUUAUAGGAAACCGAUUAAGCAACCGCCGAAUUUAUUUUCUUUUUUAUCACCGCUUUCGUUGGACGUUUGGAUCUAUAUGGCAACAGCGUAUCUGGGAGUUUCCGUUUUACUCUUUAUUUUGGCGAGGUUCACGCCGUACGAAUGGCAAAAUCCGCAUCCUUGUAACCCGAAUCCGGACCACUUAGAGAACCAAUUCACCCUCUUCAAUUGUAUGUGGUUCGCCAUCGGGUCCCUAAUGCAACAAGGAUGCGAUUUCUUACCGAAAGCUGUUUCCACGCGAAUGGUCGCCGGAAUGUGGUGGUUUUUCACGUUAAUAAUGAUCUCAUCGUACACGGCUAACCUCGCUGCUUUUUUAACGGUCGAACGGAUGGAUUCGCCGAUAGAAAGCGCGGAAGAUUUAGCGAAACAAACUCGAAUUAAAUACGGAGCUUUGAGGGACGGCUCGACGGCCGCUUUUUUCCGCGAUUCAAAUUUCUCAACGUAUCAACGGAUGUGGUCGUUUAUGGAAUCGGCCAAACCGACGGUUUUCACGUCGAGCAAUAAAGAGGGCGUGGAAAAAGUCGUUAAGGGAAAAGGAAGUUACGCUUUUCUUAUGGAGUCGACGUCGAUUGAGUAUGUUAUCGAAAGAAAUUGUGAGUUAACCCAAGUCGGUGGGAUGUUGGAUUCGAAGGGAUAUGGAAUAGCUAUGCCACCAAAUUCUCCAUUUAGAACGGCUAUAAGUGGAGCGAUUUUAAAAUUACAAGAAGAAGGAAAAUUGCAUAUAUUAAAAACGAGAUGGUGGAAAGAAAAGAGAGGUGGAGGAGCUUGUAGGGAUGAAACGACAAAAACGAGUAGUACAGCGAACGAAUUGGGUUUGGCGAAUGUCGGUGGUGUUUUCGUGGUGUUAAUGGGUGGAAUGGGGGUGGCUUGUGUGAUCGCUGUGUGCGAGUUCGUUUGGAAGUCGAGGAAGGUUGCAGUUGAGGAACGGGUGAGCAGCAUUCUGCACGAUACAUAGCUGUGAAUUAACGAGAUUUUAUAUCGCAUUAUAAAAUUACGAUUCGCCCCUCAAUUUUACUUAGAUCGUUUUCCUAAUGGCAAAGAAACGGAGAAUGGGCGACUCUUGAACCACAAAAAAAAAAUAGGUUAAACAAUAAUUAAAAGUAGAUAAUAAGAUAAUAAUUACAAUGAUAAUUAAUCUUUCUCCGUCUAAUCUGUGUGUGAAAAUCGUAAAAAUGACAAUAUUUCUUUUGAGAUUAUGUUAAAUAUAUAUACGAUCUGUUUUCAUGUUUCAAAAAAAUCUUGGAAAAGUAGAAGAUAUCAUUAUGUGCUGAAAUGGCGUCAGAAUUGAGGACUGCGUUAAAAUGUCAACAUUCAACUAAACAAUCACAAAAUUGUGC
rnacentral:misc_RNA from 1 species